rnacentral:rRNA from 1 species
AGAGUUUGAUCAUGGCUCAGGACGAACGCUGGCGGCAUGCCUAACACAUGCAAGUCGAACGGAGCGAUUUAGAAGAAGCCUUCGGGGUGGAAUUUAAUGAGCUUAGUGGCGGACGGGUGAGUAACGCGUGAGCAACCUGGCUAUUUGAGGGGGAUAACACUGAGAAAUCAGUGCUAAUACCCCAUAAGACUCAGAAGUCGCAUGACUUUAGAGUUAAAGGAGUAAUCCGCAACUAGAUGGGCUCGCGUCCCAUUAGUUAGUUGGUGAGGUAACGGCUCACCAAGACAGCGAUGGGUAGCCGGACUGAGAGGUUGAACGGCCACACUGGGACUGAGACACGGCCCAGACUCCUACGGGAGGCAGCAGUGGGGAAUAUUGGGCAAUGGGCGAAAGCCUGACCCAGCAAUGCCGCGUGAGUGAAGAAGGUCUUCGGAUUGUAAAACUCUGUCAUAUGGGAAGAAGUCAAUGACGGUACCAUAGAAGAAAGCCCCGGCUAACUACGUGCCAGCAGCCGCGGUAAUACGUAGGGGGCGAGCGUUGUCCGGAAUUACUGGGCGUAAAGGGAGCGUAGGCGGCAAAGUAAGUCUCAUGUGAAAUAUCCGGGCUCAACCCGGAGGUUGCAUGGGAAACUGCUUAGCUAGAGUACAGGAGAGGCAAGUAGAAUUCCUAGUGUAGCGGUGAAAUGCAUAGAUAUUAGGAGGAAUACCGGUGGCGAAGGCGACUUGCUGGACUGAAACUGACGCUGAGGCUCGAAAGCGUGGGGAGCAAACAGGAUUAGAUACCCUGGUAGUCCACGCCGUAAACGAUGGAUACUAGGUGUAGGGGCAAUAGCCUCUGUGCCGCAGUUAACACAAUAAGUAUCCCGCCUGGGGAGUACGGUCGCAAGAUUGAAACUCAAAGGAAUUGACGGGGGCCCGCACAAGCAGCGGAGCAUGUGGUUUAAUUCGAAGCAACGCGAAGAACCUUACCAAGACUUGACAUCCUCUUGACCGUCCUAGAGAUAGGAUUUUCCCUUCGGGGACAAGAGUGACAGGUGGUGCGUGGUUGUCGUCAGCUCGUGUCGUGAGAUGUUGGGUUAAGUCCCGCAACGAGCGCAACCCUUAUUCUUAGUUACCAGCGAGUAAUGUCGGGGACUCUAGGAAGACUGCCGGGGAUAACUCGGAGGAAGGUGGGGACGACGUCAAAUCAUCAUGCCCCUUAUGUCUUGGGCUACACACGUGCUACAAUGGUCGCAACAAAGAGCAGCAAGAUGGUAACAUGGAGUGAAACUCAAAAAAGCGAUCUCAGUUCGGAUUGUGGGCUGCAACCCGCCCACAUGAAGAUGGAGUUGCUAGUAAUCGCGAAUCAGAAUGUCGCGGUGAAUGCGUUCCCGGGCCUUGUACACACCGCCCGUCACACCACGGAAGUUGGUGGCACCCGAAGCCGGUGAGCUAACCGUAAGGAAGCAGCCGUCUAAGGUGAAAUCAAUGACUGGGGUGAAGUCGUAACAAGGUA